rnacentral:rRNA from 1 species
CUACGCGGCGCUGCAGUGGGGAAUAUUGCACAAUGGGCGCAAGCCUGAUGCAGCCAUGCCGCGUGUAUGAAGAAGGCCUUCGGGUUGUAAAGUACUUUCAGCGGGGAGGAAGGGAGUAAAGUUAAUACCUUUGCUCAUUGACGUUACCCGCAGAAGAAGCACCGGCUAACUCCGUGCCAGCAGCCGCGGUAAUACGGAGGGUGCAAGCGUUAAUCGGAAUUACUGGGCGUAAAGCGCACGCAGGCGGUUUGUUAAGUCAGAUGUGAAAUCCCCGGGCUCAACCUGGGAACUGCAUCUGAUACUGGCAAGCUUGAGUCUCGUAGAGGGGGGUAGAAUUCCAGGUGUAGCGGUGAAAUGCGUAGAGAUCUGGAGGAAUACCGGUGGCGAAGGCGGCCCCCUGGACGAAGACUGACGCUCAGGUGCGAAAGCGUGGGGAGCAAAUAGGAUUAGAUACCCCCGUAGUC